UCUCCGUUGGUGAACCAGCGGAGGGAUCAUUACCGAGUUAUCAACUCCCAAACCCCAGUGAACACACCCAACGUUGCUUCGGCGGGACCGCCCCGGCGCCCUCGGCGUCCCGGAACCAGGCGCCCGCCGGAGGACCCAAACUCUUGUUUAAACCAUAGUGGCAUAUUCUGAGUCUCACAAGAAAAAUGAAUCAAAACUUUCAACAACGGAUCUCUUGGCUCUG
rnacentral:misc_RNA from 1 species